UAAAGUGGUACGUGAGCUGGGUUUAGAACGUCGUGAGACAGUUUGGUCCCUAUCUACUGUAAGCGUUGGAAAACUGAGAAGAUUAUUUUCUAGUACGAGAGGACCGAAAAACGCAAACCUCUGGUGUAUCGAUUGUUUUAUAAGCAGCGUCGAGUAGCUAAGUUUGUUUUAGAUAAUCACUGAAUGCAUCUAAGUGAGAAACUGACUUCAAGAUAAGUUUUCCUAGAAAUGUGCAAGAUAAGCACGUCGAUAGACUUUGUGUGGAAGAGUAGCAAUACUUGGAGCAAAAAAGUACUAAUAAU
rnacentral:rRNA from 1 species